rnacentral:rRNA from 2 species
UAUUGGACUUAGUUGGCUGUGGAGCACAUGAAAACUCCGCAGUUAAGCGUGCUCGGUGAGAGUAGUACUAGGAUGGGUGACCUCCUAGGAAGUCUCCACCGGUGCAACCA